rnacentral:rRNA from 1 species
GACGAACCGAGCGAACGUUAUUCGGAAUCACUGGGCUUAAAGGGCGCGUAGGCGGGCGGCCAAGUCAGGGGUGAAAGCCCCCAGCUCAACUGGGGAAGUGCCUCUGAUACUGGUCAUCUUGAGGGAGGUAGGGGCGUGCGGAACUUCCGGUGGAGCGGUGAAAUGCGCAGAUAUCAGGAAGAACACCCGUGGCGAAGGCGGCUCUCUGGAACGCAACUGACGCUGAGACGCGAAAGCGUGGGGAGCGAACAGG